AUACGUAGGUGGCAAGCGUUAUCCGGAUUUAUUGGGCGUAAAGGGCGCGUAGGCGGGGUUGCAAGUCAGAUGUGAAAGCUCUGGGCUUAACUCAUAAAGGGCAUUUGAAACUGGGUCACUUGAGUGCUGGAGAGGAAGACGGAAUUCCUUGUGUAGCGGUGAAAUGCGUAGAUAUAAGGAAGAACACCAGUGGCGAAGGCGGUCUACUGGACAGUAACUGACGCUGAGGCGCGAAAGCGUGGGGAGCAAACAGGAUUAGAUCCCCUGGUAGUCCACGCUGUAAACGAUGAAUCCUAGGGGUGGGGGGUCUGCCCCCCUCCGUGCCGCAGUUAACACAAUAAGUAUUCCGCCUGGGGAGUACGGCCGCAAGGUUGAAACUCAAAGGAAUUGACGGGG
rnacentral:rRNA from 1 species